rnacentral:rRNA from 1 species
AGUGAACGCUGGCGGUAGGCCUAACACAUGCAAGUCGAACGGCAGCACAGUAAGAGCUUGCUCUUACGGGUGGCGAGUGGCGGACGAGUGAGGAAUACAUCGGAAUCUACUUUUUCGUGGGGGAUAACGUAGGGAAACUUACGCUAAUACCGCAUACGACCUACGGGUGAAAGCAGGGGGUCUUCGGACCUUGCGCGAUUGAAUGAGCCGAUGUCGGAUUAGCUAGUUGGCGGGGUAAAGGCCCACCAAGGCGACGAUCCGUAGCUGGUCUGAGAGGAUGAUCAGCCACACUGGAACUGAGACACGGUCCAGACUCCUACGGGAGGCAGCAGUGGGGAAUAUUGGACAAUGGGCGCAAGCCUGAUCCAGCCAUACCGCGUGGGUGAAGAAGGCCUUCGGGUUGUAAAGCCCUUUUGUCGGGAAAGAAAAGCAGCAGGUUAAUACCCCGCUGUUCUGACGGUACCCAAAGAAUAAGCACCGGCUAACUUCGUG